rnacentral:rRNA from 1 species
CGCAAUGCCCGAAAGGGUGACGAAGCGACGCCGCGUGGAUGAAGAAGGCCUUCGGGUUGUAAAAUCCUGUCAGGAGUUAAGAAAUAUAGGUACGAUAAUACCGUGUCUAUUUGACAAAGGCUCCAAAGGAAGCCACGGCUAACUCUGUGCCAGCAGCCGCGGUAAUACAGGGGUGGCAAGCGUUGUUCGGAAUUAUUGGGCGUAAAGAGCACGUAGGUGGAUUUGUUAGUCAGAUGUGAAAGCCUUCUGUUCAACGGAAGAAUUGCAUCUGAAACUACAAACCUUGAGUAUAGGAGGGGAGAGUGGAACUUCUGGUGGAGCGGUGAAAUACGUAGAUAUCAGAAGGAACGCCGGCGGCGAAAGCGACUCUCUGGCCUAUAACUGACACUGAGUGUGCGAAAGCUAGGGGAGCAAACGGGAUUAGAUACCCCGGUAGUCCUAGCCGUAAACGAUGGGCACUAAGUAGAGGG